rnacentral:tRNA from 1 species
GCUGUCGUACUCAAGCUGGCUGAAGAGGCCGCUUUUCAUAAGCGGUAGGCGGAUAAUCUCCGUGCGUGGGUUCGUAUCCCACCGGCAGCA